ACGAGUGGCGGACGGGUGAGUAACACGUGGGUAACCUGCCCUUAAGUGGGGGAUAACAUUUGGAAACAGAUGCUAAUACCGCAUAGAUCCAAGAACCGCAUGGUUCUUGGCUGAAAGAUGGCGUAAGCUAUCGCUUUUGGAUGGACCCGCGGCGUAUUAGCUAGUUGGUGAGGUAAUGGCUCACCAAGGCGAUGAUACGUAGCCGAACUGAGAGGUUGAUCGGCCACAUUGGGACUGAGACACGGCCCAAACUCCUACGGGAGGCAGCAGUAGGGAAUCUUCCACAAUGGACGCAAGUCUGAUGGAGCAACGCCGCGUGAGUGAUGAAGGCUUUCUGGUUCGUAAAACUCUGUUGUUGGUGAAGAAUGGUCGUCAGAGUAACUGUUGUCGGCGUGAUGGUAUCUAUCCAGCAAAGCCACGGCUAACUACGUGCCAGCAGCCGCGGUAAUACGUAGGUGGCAAGCGUUAUCCGGAUUUAUUGGGCGUAAAGCGAGCGCAGGCGGUUUUUUAAGUCUGAAUGUGAAAGCCCUCGGCUUAACCGAGGAAGCGCAUCGGAAACUGGGAAACUUGAGUGCAGAAGAGGACAGUGGAACUCCAUGUGUAGCGGUGAAAUGCGUAGAUAUAUGGAAGAACACCAGUGGCGAAGGCGGCUGUCUGGUCUGUAACUGACGCUGAGGCUCGAAAGCAUGGGGUAGCGAACAGGAUUAGAUACCCUGGUAGUCCAUGCCGUAAACGAUGAAUGCUAGGUGUUGGGAGGGUUUUCCGCCCUUUCAGUGCCGCAGCUUAACGCAUUAAGCAUUCCGCCUGGGGAGUACGACCCGCAAGGUUGAAACUCAAAGGAAUUGACGGGGGCCCGCACAAGCGGUGGAGCAUGUGGUUUAAUUCGAAGCAACGCGAAGAACCUUACCAGGUCUUGACAUCUUUUGAUCACCUGAGAGAUCAGGUUUCCCCUUCGGGGGCAAAAUGACAGGUGGUGCAUGGUUGUCGUCAGCUCGUGUCGUGAGAUGUUGGGUUAAGUCCCGCAACGAGCGCAACCCUUAUGACUAGUUGCCAGCAUUUAGUUGGGCACUCUAGUAAGACUGCCGGUGACAAACCGGAGGAAGGUGGGGAUGACGUCAAAUCAUCAUGCCCCUUAUGACCUGGGCUACACACGUGCUACAAUGGAUGGUACAACGAGUUGCGAGACCGCGAGGUCAAGCUAAUCUCUUAAAGCCAUUCUCAGUUCGGACUGUAGGCUGCAACUCGCCUACACGAAGUCGGAAUCGCUAGUAAUCGCGGAUCAGCACGCCGCGGUGAAUACGUUCCCGGGCCUUGUACACACCGCCCGUCACACCAUGAGAGUUUGUAACACCCGAAGCCGGUGGCGUAACCCUUUUAGGGAGCGAGCCGUCUAAGGUGGGACAAAUGAUUAGGGUGAAGUCGUAACAAG
rnacentral:rRNA from 1 species